rnacentral:rRNA from 1 species
UGCUGGAGGUAUCAGAAGUGCGAAUGCUGACAUAAGUAACGAUAAAGCGGGUGAAAAGCCCGCUCGCCGGAAGACCAAGGGUUCCUGUCCAACGUUAAUCGGGGCAGGGUGAGUCGACCCCUAAGGCGAGGCCGAAAGGCGUAGUCGAUGGGAAACGGGUUAAUAUUCCCGUACUUGGUGUUACUGCGAAGGGGGGACGGAGAAGGCUAUGUUGGCCGGGCGACGGUUGUCCCGGUUUAAGCGUGUAGGUGUGUGUUCCAGGUAAAUCCGGUUCACUUUAACACUGAGGCGUGAYGACGAGGCACUACGGUGCUGAAGCAACAAAUGCCCUGCUUCCAGGAAAAGCCUCUAAGCAUCAGGUAACAUCAAAUCGUACCCCAAACCGACACAGGUGGUCAGGUAGAGAAUACCAAGGCGCUUGAGAGAACUCGGGUGAAGGAACUAGGCAAAAUGGUGCCGUAACUUCGGGAGAAGGCACGCUGACAYGUAGGUGAAGUGAUUUACUCAYGGAGCUGAAGUCAGUCGAAGAUACCAGCUGGCUGCAACUGUUUAUUAAAAACACAGCACUGUGCAAACACGAAAGUGGACGUAUACGGUGUGACGCCUGCCCGGUGCCGGAAGGUUAAUUGAUGGGGUCAGCGCAAGCGAAGCUCCUGAUCGAAGCCCCGGUAAACGGCGGCCGUAACUAUAACGGUCCUAAGGUAGCGAAAUUCCUUGUCGGGUAAGUUCCGACCUGCACGAAUGGCGUAAUGAUGGCCAGGCUGUCUCCACCCGAGACUCAGUGAAAUUGAACUCGCUGUGAAGAUGCAGUGUACCCGCGGCAAGACGGAAAGACCCCGUGAACCUUUACUAUAGCUUGACACUGAACAUUGAGCCUUGAUGUGUAGGAUAGGUGGGAGGCUUUGAAGUGUGGACGCCAGUCUGCAUGGAGCCGACCUUGAAAUACCACCCUUUAAUGUUUGAUGUUCUAACGUGGACCCGUAAUCCGGGUUGCGGACAGUGUCUGGUGGGUAGUUUGACUGGGGCGGUCUCCUCCUAAAGAGUAACGGAGGAGCACGAAGGUUGGCUAAUCCUGGUCGGACAUCAGGAGGUUAGUGCAAUGGCAUAAGCCAGCUUGACUGCGAGCGUGACGGCGCGAGCAGGUGCGAAAGCAGGUCAUAGUGAUCCGGUGGUUCUGAAUGGAAGGGCCAUCGCUCAACGGAUAAAAGGUACUCCGGGGAUAACAGGCUGAUACCGCCCAAGAGUUCAUAUCGACGGCGGUGUUUGGCACCUCGAUGUCGGCUCAUCACAUCCUGGGGCUGAAGUAGGUCCCAAGGGUAUGGCUGUUCGCCAUUUAAAGUGGUACGCGAGCUGGGUUUAGAACGUCGUGAGACAGUUCGGUCCCUAUCUGCCGUGGGCGCUGGAGAACUGAGGGGGGCUGCUCCUAGUACGAGAGGACCGGAGUGGACGCAUCACUGGUGUUCGGGUUGUCAUGCCAAUGGCACUGCCCGGUAGCUAAAUGCGGAAGAGAUAAGUGCUGAAAGCAUCUAAGCACGAAACUUGCCC